rnacentral:lncRNA from 1 species
AUCAAAAGUGCACACAGCAAAGAGGAUGCCAACACACUUGUCAAAAAGAGGAGACCAGUCACCGUGGACACGUCCAAGGCCAAGACAUCUCUUGAGGCGCUCAAACUCAGCAUCCGGCAGCUCAAGUGGAAGGAGUUUCCCACAGGUCGACGUGCUGCUUGUGACAUCUACUGGCAUGGCGUCUCCUUCCAUGACAACGAGAACAUCGUCUCUGGACAGGUCAACAAGUUCCCAGGGAUGGUGGAGAUGUUGCGGAAGAUUAACCUGAGCCGUGCCGUGCGCACCAUGCAGGAGCUCUUCCCGGAGGAGUACAACUUCUACCCGCGCUCAUGGAUCCUUCCGGAAGAGUACCAGAUCUUUGCCACACAGGUAGAAACAAACAACAAGCCUGUGGAUGUUUGUGUCAGUUCAUCAUUUGAUUUCUGGAGAAU